AUGGCUGGUCUUGCCUUGUGAUGGGCCUGUCUGCUUCCCCAUAGGUUUUUAUUUCUGCCUUUUCUUUCUUUGUUUCUGGAGAUCCUUGCCAGUCUUUGAGGGUUUUUGUAUAAAGUCCUGGUGUGAGGAGAAACCAAGGAAGGUGCCAGAAAACUUCUUCAGCAGAUGAGGUAGAGGAAAACCUCUGGUGUGUAGCAAGAUCAUCAUCAAUGAGGAGGAAUUGGCAUUCCAAGUCGAAGCAGACUGCAUUUUUAUGAAGAGUUUGCAGUGGGGAAAAAUAAUGCUCCAAGGGUUUCUACAUCAACAUUUCAGCUUGGAUUAAGUACGUUUGUUUACCUCAUGGGACAGUCUUGGAGUGUAUAACCAGGGUUCACUUUGGAUGAAACUGAAAUACCAAUAUUGUCUAGAAUUGCAUCCAAUAUACUCCAGUGACCAAAGGAUGCUGUGGUCUUGGGGCUAUCUGGAUUUUGCCUGAAAGUGGACCUCUGUGUGUAAUGCAAAUAUUGUCCCUUCAGCACCAAUUGCAUUACUCUGUAGGUCUGCCUCCAUUGUACUGUGCUACUUGUCAGAGCAGACAAACCUGUGCUCCUUUAAAGCUGAUAGCGAAGUACCACUUUGAUCCACAAAUUCAUUCAGUGCCAAGAAGAUAAUCCCAUGGAAUGCAUGUAAAUCGCCAGUAGACAGCCAUUCUUCAUAACUCUGUGACUUGCAGUUAAGACUAGUGUAUAUCUUGGCAUUGUGGGUGUAAGUUACACUAUAGCUCAAGGUAGGAUAU